rnacentral:rRNA from 1 species
AGGGCGUACGGCGAAUGCCUUGCCACUCGAAACUGAAGAAGGACGCGCCAAACUGCGAAAAGCUCCGUGAAGCUGUAAGGAAGCGAAGAAGCGGAGGUGUCCGAAUGGGGGAACCCGGCAGCAGACAUGAGCUGUCAUCUGCAGGUGAAUACAUGGCCUGCAAGAGAGGUACCCGGCGAACUGAAACAUCUAAGUAGCCGGAGGAAAAGAAAACAACAGUGAUUCCCUGAGUAGCGGCGAGCGAAAGGGGAGAAGCCCAAACCGGUUGAAGGACCGGGGUUGAAGGACCAUGACAUGGCAAGAACGAGGAUAGGAGAACGGGAUCGAAAGCCCGGCCGAAGAAGGUGAAAGCCCUGUAACCGAAAUCCGAGUAAAGCCUAAUGGGAUCCUGAGUACGGCGAGACACGAGAAAUCUUGUCGGAAGCAGGCGGGACCAUCCGCCAAGGCUAAAUAUAAACGAGUGAGCGAUAGUGAACCAGUACCGUGAGGGAAAGGUGAAAAGAACCGCGGGAGCGGAGUGAAAGAGAACCUGAAACCGUAUGCCUACAAGAAGUCAGAGCCCGUUAAGGGGUGAUGGCGUGCCUUUUGUAGAAUGAACCGGCGAGUUGCGACAGACUGCGAGGUUAAGGAGGAAAGACCGGAGCCGAAGCGAAAGCGAGUCUUAAGAGGGCGAAAGUAGGAUGUUGCAGACCCGAAACCGGGUGAUCUAGCCAUGAGCAGGUUGAAGUUGAGGUGAAACUCAAUGGAGGACCGAACCGACUACCGUUGAAAAGUUAGCGGAUGACUUGUGGCUAGGGGAGAAAUUCCAAUCGAACCCGGAGAUAGCUGGUUCUCCCCGAAAUAGCUUUAGGGCUAGCGUCGGAAAGAACCUUAGUGAAGGUAGAGCACUGAAUGUGUGAUGGCCCCAUCCCGGGGUACUGAAUACAAUCAAACUGCGAAUGUCAUUAAGGAUGUCCGGCAGUCAGACUGUGAGUGAUAAGGUCCAUGGUCAAGAGGGAAACAGCCCAGACCGCCAGUUAAGGUCCCAAAAUACAGGCUAAGUGGAAAAGGAUGUGGGGAUGCCCAGACAACUAGGAGGUUGGCUCAGAAGCAGCCAUCCUUUAAAGAGUGCGUAACAGCUCACUAGUCGAGUGACCCUGCGCCGAAAAUGUACCGGGGCUAAGCCUGAUACCGAAACUGCGGAUUGUAGGAAACUAUAGUGGUAGGGGAGCGUUGUAUACGAGCAGAAGCCGUACCGUGAGGAGCGGUGGAUUGUAUAGAAGUGAGAAUGCCGGUGUGAGUAGCGAGAUGUAGGUGAGAAUCCUACACACCGAAAGCCCAAGGAUUCCAGGGGAAGGUUCGUCCGCCCUGGGUAAGUCGGGACCUAACGCGAGGCCGAAAGGCGUAGUGGAUGGAAAGCAGGCGAAAGAUUCCUGCACCCGUAUAUGGAGCGAAGGAGUGACGGAGACGGAUAGUGUGACCCUCUUAAUGGAUUGAGGGCGAAGCGAAGCGGCUGGUUACCAGGCAAAUCCGGUAACCAUAAGGCUAGAGCGUGACAGGUAAGCGAAAUCUUAGGAAAGUAGCGAAGCACAUGAUGACGGCUUCCAGGAAAAGCUUCUGGCAAUGCAUAUGCGGCCCGUACCAAAACCGACACAGGUGGGCAGGGAGAGAAUCCCGAGGUGAGCGAGAGAACUGUUGCCAAGGAACUCGGCAAAAUGACUCCGUAAGUUAGCGAGAAGGAGUGCUUAAGCAAUUAAGCCGCAGUGAAGAGGCCCAAGCGACUGUUUAACUAAAACACAGCUCUCUGCGAAGUCGCAAGACGAAGUAUAGGGGGUGACACCUGCCCGGUGCUGGAAGGUUAAGAGGAUCUGUUAAGAGCGAUCUGAAGCAGUGAUCCGAAGCCCCAGUGAACGGCGGCCGUAACUAUAACGGUCCUAAGGUAGCGAAAUUCCUUGUCAGGUAAGUUCUGACCCGCACGAAAGGUGUAACGAUUUGGGCGCUGUCUCGGCAGCAGACUCGGGGAAAUCUUAGUACCUGUGAAAAUGCAGGUUACCCGCAACUAGACGGAAAGACCCCAUGGAGCUUUACUGCAGCCUGAUAUUGAAUUCUGGUCAUACAUGUACAGGAUAGGUGGGAGACAAAGAGACGUGCACGCCAGUGUACGAGGAGUCGACGUUGGGAUACCACUCUUGUGUGACCGGGGUUCUAACCUGGUAUCGAGAACAGGUACGGGGAGAGUGUCAGGUGGGCAGUUUGACUGGGGCGGUCGCCUCCCAAAGAGUAACGGAGGCGCCCAAAGGUACGCUCAGAUUGGAUGGAAACCAAUCGUCGAGUGCAAUUGCAGAAGCGUGCUUGACUGUGAGACAGACAAGUCGAACAGGGACGAAAGUCGGGAAUAGUGAUCCGGCGGUGCCGAAUGGAAGGGCCGUCGCUCAACGGAUAAAAGCU